ACAUGCUGGUUUACCUCUUUCUCUACUUCUUUGAGAUAAGGCUUAAUAAACAACCUGUAUCCAAUCAUAUCUUAUCUUAUUUAAAAAGAAUAAUAAACAGUUCCAUUUAAACAGAUAAAAAUAACAGUUCCAUUCAAUUUGUAAUCAUUUCAUCCAAAAUUUACAGCAUAAGCACAAACUAAAGAUUUUUCAUACUAAUCUCCAUUCCAUGCUUUAGUAUAUGCCAUAUAGUGGUUCAAAAUUUCAGAGCUUGUUAUAAAAUCCAUUAUUCUGUCUUGAGAUGAUGAAAACAUAGAUAUUAGACACUUUCAACAUUAGAUAUGCAAAAUACUCAGCUGUAAAGUUGCCUGUAUUAAUCUAUGAAAAAGCUGAAUUAUGUCCCUUGGGAGUAUUAAUUUCCAACAAAAGUCCUUUCAAACAGUAGAAAAUGAAAAAUUAUAUAUGCCUGAUAUAAUAAAAGAUAGAAACUACAAAAUGAAGCACUAUUGAAAUAUUUGCUGCAUGAAUUGCCAAGAAUAUGACCAAUUCUUUACACAGGAGAGUAUAAAUUCUAUCUAAAUUUAGCCUCAAGUGGGCCUCUUUUUUUCUUAGAUGGACAAUUUUAACACUGAAAAUGCUUCUAGUAUGACCAAAUAUUGCCUUACUCCAUAAACAGUACAAACUUAACCAGACAAUUUCCCAUUUUAAUAGAUUAUGUCUACAGAAAUACCCAAGUGAUACAUUUAGGGAAUUACACAGCAAAAAAGGCAAAUAUUUCAGUUAAAAAUAUUUGUCACGACUUGAAUUCUGGUGUUUCCAAUUGAAUUAAUCAUUGCGAAAGGUGAAAACAAAUACAAAAGAACUAUAGUUUGGUGCAUUUUAUACAAUAUAGUUAAUAUUGAAAUCCUAGAAUAAAGUUUUAUAUCAGUACCCAUCAAUUUGACUUAUUAUGAUGACUCAGCACUUUUCUCAACACAGUAUUGUUCUCAGUGAAAACAUUCUAUUCUUUGUGAUAAAAAUCAAAUGUACUAACCAAA